UACGGGGGGGCAAGCGUUGUUCGGAAUUACUGGGCGUAAAGGCGUGUAGGCGCCAACUAAGUCCGACGUGAAAUCCCCAGCUUAACCUGGGAACUGCGUCGGAUACUGGAUGGCUUGAAUCCGGGAGAGGGAUGCAGAAUUCCAGGUGUAGCGGUGAAAUGCGUAGAUAUCUGGAGGAAUACCGGUGGCGAAGGCGGCAUCCUGGACCGGCAUUGACGCUGAAGCGCGAAAGCUAGGGGAGCAAACGGG
rnacentral:rRNA from 1 species